rnacentral:rRNA from 1 species
UACGGGGGGGGCAAGCGUUGUUCGGAAUUACUGGGCGUAAAGCGCGCGCAGGCGGCCAUCCAAGUCAGUGGUGAAAGCCCGGAGCUCAACUCCGGAACUGCCAUUGAAACUGGUUGGCUAGAGUACGAGAGAGGUGAGUGGAAUUCCCAGUGUAGAGGUGAAAUUCGUAGAUAUUGGGAAGAACACCGGUGGCGAAGGCGGCUCACGGGCUCGUUACUGACGCUCAGGCGCGACAGCGUGGGGAUCAAACAGG